CACGGUUACAAGUAUCCGAGAUGGAAGCAGGACAGCGGCAGAUUUGAGAGCAACCACCAGGUCCCUGAGUGCAAACUGACCACAGAUGAGCCCCUCCUCCCCACUGCUGACUUGCUGGGUAUAGCGGAGCAGCACCCCUCCAGAGAGCCCUCCUGGGCUGACACCUGCCCUUUGCACCCAGCUGAAAUAAAACUCUUGGAAUCUGC
rnacentral:lncRNA from 1 species